UACGGGGGGGGCAAGCGUUGUUCGGAAUUACUGGGCGUAAAGGGCCAGUAGGCGGCCAACUAAGUCGGAUGUGAAAUCCCCAGGCUCAACUUGGGAACUGCAUCCGAUACUGGAUGGCUUGAAUUCGGGAGAGGGAUGCAGAAUUCCAGGUGUAGCGGUGAAAUGCGUAGAUAUCUGGAGGAAUACCGGUGGCGAAGGCGGUUCUCUGGGCCUUGACCUGACGCUGAGGAGCGAAAGCCAGGGGAGCAAACGGG
rnacentral:rRNA from 1 species